rnacentral:rRNA from 1 species
UACAGAGGGUGCAAGCGUUGUUCGGAAUUAUUGGGCGUAAAGGGCGCGUAGGCGGUGCGGUAAGUCUGUAGUGAAAUCUCUGGGCUCAACUCAGAGUCUGCUGCAGAAACUGCCGUGCUUGAGUGUGGGAGAGGUGAGUGGAAUUCCCGGUGUAGCGGUGAAAUGCGUAGAUAUCCGGAGGAACACCAGUGGCGAAAGCGGCCUUCUGGACCAUUUCUGACGCUCAGACGCGAAAGCUAGGGUAGCAAACGGG